GAAAAGCUUGGCAAGAGGCACAAGGAGCACAUUGCAGCGUACGGAGAAGGCAAUGAACGCCGCCUUACUGGUCGACAUGAGACUGCUGAUAUUAACACCUUCCUAUGGGUAUGUGAUGGUUGUCUGAAAUAUAACAAAAGGUCUUGGAGGACUCCUUAUUCGAAGGAAACGAUUUUUCUCAUGAUUGCUUAUUCUGAUUGGCAGGGAGUCGCCAAUCGUGGUGCUUCCAUUCGAGUGGGUCGUGAGACGGAGAAAAAUGGCAAAGGUCAAAUUUCUAUUCUCUGAGAGCUGCUUCGUCUUUCUUUCAACUUAGAUUCGUAGCAUUUCCUGCAUCAACUUAAGUAAAUCAUGGUGUUAAACUUUGUGGUGAUGGGUGUGUAAUUCCAUCUGUCCAGGUUACUUUGAGGACCGGAGGCCAGCUUCAAACAUGGAUCCAUAUGUUGUCACCUCCAUGAUCGCGGAGACCACCAUAAUCGGGAAACAAUGAACGGUGCAACAGUGCAAACCUGCCUGCUCUUCUCCUAGCUGUGGGACUGUCUUGUCAACAAUUUCAUGUUCUUAGUUGAAGUGUAAACU
rnacentral:lncRNA from 1 species